UUGACAGAAGAGAGUGAGCACACAAAGGCAAAUUGUACCAAAUUGUGUUGUAUGAUUGUUUUGGGUGCUCAUGAUCUAUCUGUCAG
rnacentral:pre_miRNA from 11 species